GUGAAUCAUCGAAUUUUUGAACGCAAAUUGCACUUUCUGGUAUUCCGGAAAGUAUGCCUGUUUGAGGGUCAGUUAAAAAAAAAUCGGUGUUAUUGCUCUUAAUGGGGAAGCAUCGGCUGUGAUUCGUCUUUACCUUUGGUUUUCAGUGAAUUAAAAUUAUGUACGAAUUCUGAAAGUAUUUAUUUUGU
rnacentral:misc_RNA from 1 species